GGGUGAGAGAUGCAGAAUGAAGUAAACCUGAAAAAAAAAAAGGAACAAGGCCAACCAAGAUCAGCUGAACCCGGUAAAUAGAGGAGGACACUUUGAUCAGAGAAGUGCAAGUCACAGCCACGUAAAUGAUAUAACUGGGAUUUUCAUCCUGGUGUUCUGGCUUUAGACCCCAAGUUUCUAACCACUAUGCCACAUUCCCUGUCUAGUGUCUCCUACCAGAUGACCAGAUAAGUGAUUGCCUAUUAUUUAUUUCUUUUUCCCACUCCAUCCUAGCAUGAUUCAUUAAACAUAGUAUGCAUGCAAAGCAUGUUAAAUGAAUGACAGAAUCAGUGACAGAAAACUGUGGCUAUUUACCAUCUUCCUUUGCUUUUGAGAAACUGAUGGCACUACAUUACCCCCGAAGCCUUUGUUUGUUGGUGAAGUGGGACUGGACAUCUGAAACAACCUGGCCAAUCAUCAUUCUCUAAUCUCCUGGUAACACUGGGUGGCUUCAGGAUUGGCAAAUAGUUGUCCCUGAGCCAACUGGAAUUCUUCCCUUGAACGUUGUCGUGUGUAAGCAGGAGAAAUCAGCAGUCUGUCAUCAGUGGCAGAAGCUUUAAGACCUAAAAUCUGGAAGUUCUUGAAGACCAUAUUUCCUGCCAUGACAAGAAAACCAGGAUGCAGACAAUGAAAAUUAACAGAAUCGACAAAGAGAAACAGAAAGACAGAUUCCAAUGCCAUAUUUUUGACUGGGACAAGUAGGGGUAGAACCGGUUUUUCAGCCAGGUCUUUACUCCUUAUCAGUUGGAGCAGGCAGGAUGAGGAAGACAGCCCUAGAGUCCUCAUCUUAUCCACUGUCUUCUGACCUCACUGCAAAGCUUGCUACCACUCCACAUGUCAUCUUAUUUCUGCCAGGCCUGGGCCUUAUUUUCUACCCUUCUUUUCCACUCUCUGAGGAAAUCCCAGAAGCCAUUCAGCAGUGCAGCACAUUGGUUUCUACACAAAAAUGGAAGCUGGAAGCCAGUUGUCCUUCCUGGGAUCACAGCUACACCACUUUUCUCAGCAUAUUCUGCAGAUGGAAAUGUGGAGGAUGCGAGAGGUUCCAAGCUGUCACCGAAGUCCAAUGGACAGUAAGCGGCAUGGCUCUGAGGCAACCCAAGUCUAACUGCAGAGAUUAG
rnacentral:lncRNA from 13 species